GCCGGGGUAGCUCAGUUGGUAGAGCAGAGGACUGAAAAUC
rnacentral:tRNA from 1 species